ACAAAUUGUAGAGGUGCAAAUCCGAUAAGUAUUUCUUCUGAGUGGAAAGCGAUGAAGGGGAAGGAAAGGCGUAUUUGCCGAAAUCAAUUAAGCGUCAUCUUAGUUGGUUGGGGUCGUUGCCGAAAGGGACGACACUGUCGUAAUUCAAUAUUACGGAGUGCUACUAUUAGG
rnacentral:ncRNA from 2 species